rnacentral:rRNA from 1 species
GACGAACGCUGGCGGCGUGCUUAACACAUGCAAGUCGAACGGAAAGGCCCCUUUGGGGGUACUCGAGUGGCGAACGGGUGCGUAACACGUGCGUAACCUGCCCUUGACUUCGGGAUAACUUCAGGAAACUGGGGCUAAUACCGGAUAGGAAUCCUUGCUUCAUGGUGGGGGUUGGAAAGCUUCGGCGGUUUUGGAUGGACUCGGGGCUUAUCAGCUUGUUGGUGGGGUAGUGGCUUACCAAGGCUUUGACGGGUAGCCGGCCUGAGAGGGCGACCGGCCACAUUGGGACUGAGAGACGGCCCAGACUCCGACGGGAGGCAGCAGUGGGGAAGAUUGCACAAUGGGCGGAAGCCGGAUGCAGCAACGCCGCGUGCGGGAUGACGGCCUUCGGGUUGUAAACCGCAUUCAGCAGGGGCGAAGCUUGUGGUGACGGUACCUGCAGAAGAAGCACCGGCUAACUACGUG